UGGGAGUGUAACGCAGCUUCACCAGUGACUUGCUCUGUCCGUUUCCGAUGAAGUUUCCAUACUGGCAGCCAUAUAUGUUGUCGUGGAUGUUGAUGAGGAACCUCUCGUUGAACUCGAACACGCAGGGAAACUGCUCUGUAAGCUGCCACACGCACUCAAUGAACUGUGUGAAGACAGGAGACACCUCUUUUGGGUCGCCGUCCAAGUGCCCGCACCUGCAAACGUCCCAGCAUGUGCUAUUACCUGGCUGAGACAAGCGCAGCAGUGACUGGUAGACAUCCUGGCACUCUCUCUCUCGGGGCAGCAGGAGGUGUAGCUGGUGGAAUGUCUUGCAUCGGAUGACCAGCGGACAGCCAGAGGUGGUCAGAGGAAGCUUCUCCAACGAGGAAAUAUGAUGGUGCAGAAUCUGCACCGCAGGAGGAAACAAAUGAGACAUGAGAACAGGUGGAGAAAUACUUAAAAAGUCUUCAUACUUCUUGAUUCUUCCCUUUUUCGUGUUUAUUUUGUUGUGCUUGGCUGAUAAGCAUGACAAAAUAAACACAAAAUCAAGAAGUGUGCAGACUAUUUAAGUAUUUCUUGACACUUUUUUUGUCAUCAAUAUCAUACAAUAAUACAA